CCCACAUGGCUGUGGGGCCAUAUAAGCUCUUGGGUGGAGCCUCAGCUGUUUCUUCGAGCUGUGGUGAACGUGGGUCUGAUCUUGUCCUGUUCUUUGGGUUUUCUGGUUUAACUGCAUGUGUCUUUUAUUCUUCCUGAUGGUUGUUGGUGACUCUGUAGGACGUGCCACUGCUCUGCUCAACCAGCUCCUGCGCUGUGGGACCGUGCUCCUGGUAAGAAGUCAAUGUCAAGAAGAUAGAUUGAAUCUUGAAUUUGAGUAACAAAUUCCUGGAUUUGUAAGCAUCCCAGUGUUUAAGACAUCUGCCACUCACUUCCUCCUUUCCAGAGCGUCAUUGCAAAAGGAGUAAUGAGGGGAUUGUUUCAGGCUUUCCUUUCAUGACAUUUAGGAGGAAAGGAAACUGCUGUUGAAUAUGAGAUGCCUGGGAUUUCUGUUUUAUAUUAUACUUCUUAAAUGUUUGAACUCUGCUUCAGGAUGGAACAAGUUAGAAUUGAAACUGCAGGGUGGAAUGUAGACUUCAUCCCACAGUCUUACACGGAAGGAAAAAGAGCUACAAAGAAUAAUGAUCCAUGGAUUCUAGAGAGGGACACGGAUUCUUUACUGGACUUUCUCUUGUGGGGCACUUGCAAUCGUCCAGCUGCUGUGAGUCAGCUUGGUGUGGUGGAAACUGAAGCUGUGAGAUGUGCAGUGGUUACCAUAGCAUACAGUGAAUGAAGGUGUGCAAGCAUGAGGGAGCUAAGAUGUCCCCUAACAGCAGGAUGAAUAAUGACUUGGUCGCUAAAGAAGAAAACGGAUGUGGAUGUCUCAGUGUACGCGCAGCAGAAUAGACAAUGGCUUCACCUACUUGAGAAAUUACUAUGUUGGGCUGGCAGGACUUACGUGAGGAAAUGCAUGUUAUACAUUAAAUGUGACACAAGAGAGAUGAAUUAUGCAGUAAGCUCAGUGUGUGCUGAUCAGCACAAAGCCCAAGGCACAUUCAGCAGAGUUUCUAUGAAGAUCUGUAAUGAGUUUCAAGUACAUCAUUUCCUGGUGGAGGCUAUUCAGCCAAGACAGAAACAACUCCGUGCUCCUGGAUGGCCAAGUUACAAACGAGGUUGAUCUGUCUGAACUGCUGAAACUUGAUGACUCGCAAUCAACAGUCUGUAGAACAAUGCGGUUAACAGUGUGAAGAUGUGGAUUUUUUUCUGCCUCUAAAUGCUGGGUUCUGUGCUGGGCCAGUAAGGUAAGUCUGACUUUAGUUGACCGCCCAAUAGAAGAACAGAGUGCAAGUAAAGGGAGUAAAGAUACUUGAAGAUAUGUUGAGCUGUUAAUACAGCACUCACUUCUUAUAUCUAGAAGGGGCAAGUUUGGCUGCGUAACCUUCUGACAAACGUCAUUUUCUUGUUAAAUGUUAAAUCACUGAUGGGACCCUUUGAUUGGAGAUUGUUUUUCAAAGACCCACAGUCUACGCCACAACCUUGCAGAAGGAUCAGGAGCAUGUGCUAACGCAAUCACAAGAGCAGUAUUUCCCAUGAAGGUGAAACAACAGUCCACUAAAUUAUUUUUUUUAAACCAGUGAGAUUAUACUUAUUUGUUCCAUGCAGCUAGAAUUGUUACAGGAUUACAUGCUUUGAUAUGAAAUGCAAGUUUGGAUCCAAUUCUUAGAGGAGCUAAACCUGGAUCUUACACUAAAUCCAGUGCUAGCAGCUCUGGACAGUAUGGGUAGGCUCCAUGAGGGUCAGGCACAUUACAUAAUUACUCACAGAAACUGGCAUCACACUUACCUAUGGUCCAGCAUGCCCACUUCUCAGUAGAUUAGUGCUGGCUCAUACAGCCAUAUUUAAUCUUGCUCCUUUGGAGGGGACCUCACCAUAGCUUGGUUACACCCAAAUUCAUAUUGCACUCUAAAAUAAAAUAAAAAAAAUUGUAAGGACUGGCAUAUGCAUAACCCUAAGGGGUGCUGCUUGAGGUAUUCAGAAGCGAUACAGACAGCUACAUCCACAUCAGUGUGUGUCUGUUAUUCUCCAUCUAAAUAACAGGGCGGAUAUCUGUGACAUUUGGAAAAAAAAAAAUAAGAUGAAUUUGUCCAAUAUGUGUGCAGGGAUAUGGGAUAACAGCACUGCAUGGAUGGAAUAGCAGGGAGUGCCUGGGGUCAGCGGGUGAGUGGCAAUGCUGUGUGGGGAUGGUUGUAUGGGGCCACUCACAGCAUUGCCCAUGGUUGGACAGGCAGGGUGAGCUAUUCUUAGUCAAGAACUUCAUGCAGAACCCAGCCCUUAGAAAAAAAGAGCAAAAUAGCUUUUUGACCAGAAGAUUGAGGCUUCUUAUGUGGUUUGAGGCUGUCAUCUGAUGAACAGCUUGUCCCAGAAGUUAUAGCUAACGUCACUGCUGAGUGCUGUGGCACGUAUUCCAAAUGCACGAGACAGAUCGUGAACAAAAACUGUGUUUGUUUCAAAUUCAUACUCCUAAUACUAUUGACUUAAAUACUUGUGGUACAUUAGUAUCUGUAGCUCAAAUCAGGAAAGCUGCAAAAAGUAGCCAUUGUUAACAAGGUUCUGUUUCUUCCUGAAAUUAAAUCAACUGGCAUCAAUUUGAAGAAAAUUUGCUGUAAUGAGUUUUUCUUACUGAGAGUGACCAAAGCAGAACAUAGGAAGGAGUGCAGCAAAUCAAAGAAGCAAAGAAAAGGUUGGGAAGACAGACAAGCAGCUAAUGCAGCCAUGCCACGGUGUUGAAGCGCAACGUCGGGUGAAAUGCAGGCAUUGUGUGGAGCCGUGAGAGCGCUAGCAGUACACGGCACGUGGGAACACAUUCAGGCCUACACCAAUGAGAAGAAACAGGAAAGGCUGUGAGUCUUGGGCAUCCCACUGCCUUUGCUGUGCUGAUUCCUGGGGAAGCAGAAGAAGAGCUCCAGCAGGUAAGAUGCAGCCAUCAAUUUUGCUACUACGAUAACAGUAUGUGUCUGAGGUACCAUUCCCAGAUGGCUUUCCUAGGCCCUCAGAUUUCAAACACUGCCAGGGAGUUUUUGUAAUUCACCUCACAGUAAACGUAAACACUGCUUAAUGGAUGGCUUUAAUGCUGCCUUUCUGCUUCAAGGAUUUUUCAUUGGUCGCUGCUGCAGUGCUGGAACUUGCCCCGGGGCUGCACGCAGGCUGCCAUGCAGCCAAGGGCUUAGAAACCUGUGUCAUUUCAGUUCAUGUUGAUUAUGGUUUUUGACUGAAAUACUGUGGUAUUCUUUUUAAAGAAAGCACUGAGUCACCAAAACUAGCACUUACCUUGUAAAUGCAUUGGUUUUGAGGGGAAACUUUCUGAAGCAGAUGGAACUGCUGUAUAGAGGGGAAAAAAAAUUCUUCACUGAUUAGGGCACUCGUGUAUGGGAGCCCUACAGUCAGCAAAGAGCUGUUAUUUAUGAACUUGUCACUACACCUGCGAGGGAACGGAGCAGAGCAAGGAUUUGAACCAGACUAGUUUCCCAAUCAUUGGUUCAUGGUCUCAGUGUAUACUGAGAGUGCCAAUUUAUUUUGGAAGCCUCGCUAAAUAUUCAUGAAGUCUGGGAUAAGAUCCCCACAAGAUAGCAGUUACAGGAGCUGGAUGAGAUACAGGCUGCUCGUGCUUAAGCCCUUGAUUCAAGCUGCUUAGAGAAAUACCUCAUGUUCAAGUCCCAUCUCCCACCCAGUGAGCUUAUGUGCUGUGUUGCUCUCCAUUCAGCAUGAUAUAGAAAGACAACCCCAGAAGUCAAACUUCCUUUUUUUCCUACUCCAAUUCUGCCUACCCCAAUGUACUAGAAAUGAAUAAAAUUAGAAUUGGGCCAUACAUUUAUAUCCCCAUUUUCCCUCCAACAUCUCUUCACUGGGUAUGCCUGGUUGUAGAUUUGCUGCAGUUCAUUUCUUCAAGAUUACCCUGAAAGGAGUGAUUUUGUUUAUCUUCAAAAUGAAAGUUGGUGGGAAUGGUGGCUUCCCCGUAUUAAUUGUAUGAACAGAAAGCGGUGCUGUGAGGUCAAGAGGAAGUGCAGUGCUCAAGAUAUUACCAAACUAUGUCAUGAAAACAGAUGUGCUCUGCUGCUUCUUUCUAUGUAUGGGGAAUUUUCUCAAGAUCUUAAGAGAUGUCUACUCUGACCACAGAGGCUUUUGUCUUAUUCUUCCACUUUCCACCUUCGAGAACAGAUCACGGUGGUUUUUUUUUUGUGGGCUUCCCCCCCCCCCCCCCCCCCUCCAUGUUUUCUUUUGGUUUUCUAGCAGCCUCACAUGGGCCCAGCACUGGGAGCAGAAGCUCAGCAUCACCCACUACAGCCUCCUUUCUACAGCACUGCCAGGUGGGUGCAAGGUGCUCAGGGGAGCCCUAGAGGUAAUGGGCUGAGCUGAGGGGUGCCAGCUGCUCCUUAACGUCAGGAGUAUGAGGGUCACAAUGAAGGUCUGGAAGAAACUAAGAGUAUUUUUUAAUCAAUAAUUCUAAGUUUCUCUCUCCUGGCCUUAUGCCAGGUCUUAGUGUUACUCUAAUGAAAACUGUAGAAAAUGUAUACACACAUAAGCUUGCUUAGCUAGGAAAUGAAAAAAUAACGAACAUUUACAGCCAGUAAUCAAAAUGAUAAGCAAUCCAUCUGUUGGCAGAGGAGCAUUUUAUAUGACCAGUGAUGCAGAAGGCUCCUGCAGGUAAGCUACAGCAGCAAUCCAGCUGAGGCACUGCACCCUACCAGCUCUAGGAGCUAUGUGAGGUGGUGCUGCUGAUAUCAGCCUCUGGAGCUGACCUGGUGCUGCAGGAACCUGCUGCUGUGCUGGGUCUUGUUCCACAGGGCAGGCUCUUCUCAUAAACUAUGUGGGGAAUUAAUAUAAUUAUACCUGUGCAAGUAGGAGGAAAAUUAAAACAUAUGUUAUCAGUUCCUAAAAAAUCUCUGAGUAGCCACCAAAGUAGUUGUAUAGUCUACAAAGCACAGUUGGAAAGAGUACUGCAGUGAGAUAGCAAAGGAACAAACAGAGAAGAACUGCUCACCUGUAUGCAAAGAUUUAGGCUCACACUGAAAAGCUCCACAAAGGAGGGAUCACCACAAGGAGAUUCUUCCCCAGUGUUAGUCAGCCCUUAAAUGGGGUCUGGGAGGGGUGGAAUGUGGUCACACAGCUUCUGGUCACAUAGCUGAAUUGCUUUCACCUGUGCUCCCACAGCUGAUUCAGUCCUUGCCUCAGGUGAUCAAUUGGUGGUUCAGGCUGUGAUUCAACAGUUCCCAUGCAGUACUUUAUCCAAACACUGAACAACCGUGCUGUACCUUCAUAGCAACGUGAGGAGUUCUACACGUUGAGAGAUGACUGCCUCAACUUUCAGCUUUCAGCCCUGACUCUUCUUAAAGUGUACAGUAACAUCUUAAAAAAAAAAGGAAGAAGCAGCAGCAAAGUGGGUGUAUUCAUGUCUGGAAAAACAGAGCUGACAAGUUAAAGACGAUCUGAAUGUCUUAAGGUGUAGGACUCUGCACUUGCCCUUGUUGAACCUCAUCACGAUCCCCUCUGCCCAACUCUGCAGCCUGCCCAGGUCUCACUGAACGACAGCACAACCGUCUGGUGUGUCAGCCACUCCCAGAUUUGUAUCAUCACACAACUUGCUGAGGAUGCUGUCCAUGCAUUCAUCCAGUUUACUGAUGAAGAUGUUCAACAAGACUGGACUCAGUACCGAUCCUGUGAAAACACCAACUAGGAUUGCGCUACUGAUCCUAACCCUCUGUGCUGUGCCAUCAGCCAGUUCUCAGUCUGCCUUACUGUCCAGUCAUCUGUUCCACAACUCCUAACUUCAACCAUGAGGAUGUUAUGGGAGAUAGUGUCAAAAGCCUCACUAAAGUCAAGGUAGACAACAUUCACUGCUCUCCUCUCAUCUAUCCAGCCAGUCACAACAUCACCCAAUAUUUUACUAGAUUAACUUUUGCAAUCUAAGCUAGUUAGAUGAUUAUUAUCACUGUAGACUCAUACAAGCCUAAAUGUACCUCCCAUCACCAAACAACUAUCUUCUUAGAUAUGAUUUUUGGACAGUACAUACACAACCAAGAAAGUGAAUGAACUCUGAAAGUGGAGCAUUUCAAACUGUAUCCAGAAAAAAGUAAGAAUAUUUUUGCAUAUGAAUUCGUUUAACCAGUACCUUGCAGUAACCAGCAUUCAGCAGAGGCUCCCCAUUUGAGGGUUCAACUUGACUGGCUGCAGCCUUGAGCGAUCUGACGUAGUGAGACCUUCUUUGAGCAGGGCGUGGAUUGAGGUGACAUCAAGAGUUCCUGUCCAGCCUGAAGUGUUCUGUGAUUCUAAAACUGACCUGAAGAAAUUAGAAAUAUUUUCCUUGAAGAUGCUAUUAAAUUAACAUUUAUGACAUUCAAUUUCAUUUCUUAUUUAUAUAAAAAAGGCUGAAACUUUGUAUUUGCUAUUUAUAAUUGUUUGUAGGUAAUAUUUUCAUAAUAAUUAUGUGCAAAAGAACUUAUUAUUAUUUAUUUAACUUUUGUUUAAGGUUUGAAUAAAACAGAAAAAGUAAAUUUAUUAAUCCAUAAGUGGCCAUACUAAAGCACACUGGGUGCCUCUGGUAUAAACCCCACUAUCCAAGGAGAGAUGUUCAGCUAAAACUCUAAAAUGGUGGUUUGAAACAUACGCUGAUAUCUUUAAUUCUUCUAUGCUGGAAAUGUAAAAUGACAAUUGCUAAUGAGAAAAACCUCCCUGCUAAGUUGUAAUAACAACUUUAAGAACACUUGCUAAGAGAUAGACCACAUUGAGGAAAGCCAAAUCUAGUUGAUCUCACCUUCUCAAUUUCAAAUAUCCUUUGUGGUAAUUACAUUUCAUUUAGAAAAAUAAGUCUGAAGGAAGUGCACGCAUGGCAGGUAGUUUGGCAUCGGCCACUUCUACAGUUCUCAGAUGUGUCGCAGCCAAGAAAAUGUUCCAGAAUUUAAUUCUUUUCAGAUAGUUGAGCUCAUGUAAACUUUACUCUUGAUGAGGACUACAGAUGAAAUAUCUGGAUGGUGUUCCAAAUAAGGCAUUAAAUGCCUCCUACAAUAGAACCCAUCACGUUCUCCCAAUUUCUCCCUUGUUUAAAGUAAUUACAAAUCAUGCUGUGGAACUCUGAUGAUGUUUAUGGAAAACAAGUAAGAAAAUUCAUUCCAGAAAAGCCUGAGUUGUUUUCUGCCUACCAUGGUUUCUCCAUCACACCCGUUCUUUGGCUGCAUUUCAAGUAGCCUCACAAAGACACAGAAAAGAUAAUGAAAAUUCUUGAACUCUUUCUUGUCUGCCAGAGGUGCAGGAAAGCUGCAGACACAUAGAUCAGCAUCCUCAGAGCUCUACCAGUGGUUUCUGUCCCUCCGAUGAGCUCUAGGAAACAUUAGGAACCCACCUGGACUGUCUGAGGUUAGUACUUCAGGUUUAAAUUGAAAUUUUUGCAUGUAAAACAGCCACAAAAGGUAUAUUACAGAGAGCUCUGCGAAAGGCAGCACCGUUUGAGACAAUCUUUGAGGUCUGCUCUGAGUAACCCGAAUACCUCAGAUAUAUACAGCCUUAUUGUCAUCCAACAUUAUUGCUGUUAGUCCCUUGUAUUAUCACAGAAGAUGGCAUUUACUGUUGAACUUAACAAAAUUAUUUUGAAGAAUUAAUAAUUCUGGAACUAAGCAUCCAUGGUUCUUACCUCAGCUUAGUCUGAAGCACUGCUCCAACUGGCUGCCUCUGUUUCGCAGCACGUUUCUCAUACUGAGUAUUCUCAUAGCACAGACGUAUCCUCUAGUUGAAACCAGUGACGUGGGGGAUCCUCUCACUUUAAGCCUGAGUCUACCUGUCACUGACUGAAGGGCACUGAGGUCAGUUGACUUAAAAAGACUAAUUUGUAAUCCGCGCCUGCUGAAGGGAUAAGUAAAUCCAAAGAGAGAGGCUCAUAAAUUCCCAGAAAGAUCUUGGUAUCAUAACAAUAGAUCUGACAGCACUCUAAAGUUUGGCCUCCGUCUUGACAAAGAGGAAUCACAACCAGUCUCGGUGUAGUUCCCCAGCAGGAGAUAGUUGUUAAAGUGCUGUCAAGCAGCCUGUGCCCUCCUCAUCUCAUGGCAACUUGGCAUCAACCCCUCUGCCAGCUUCCACCAACACUGAGAUAACAGCACACCUCCAAUAAUAGAUGUGGGAGAAAAGAAGAACAAGGUGUGCUUUCAUACUUUGCCAUUUACUUACCUGCAUCUCCUUUUUACAUCAUCAUUUAAGGAGAUACUUCCACAUAAGUGGUCUCAGGGCAGGGCACAGACCGGCGAUUUAUAAAAAAAUACCAGAAUUUGAAUAGGAUUCGAUUAAAAACUGCUGUAUGAGCUGAAUGCACUUCGGAAUUAAUCUUGGUGUACUUUUUUCUGAACCACCUAUUAAAGCUCUACAUCGAGAAUAAUAUUCACUACUGCCUUCUACUGAGUUUUUGCUGGAACUUGUCCUGUUCUGCUUCCUGCCCAUCAUAAUCACAUCAUCUCUCCUGCAACCAGAGCCUUUCAGUUCUGGAAACUGGCUGAGAUCGACCCAGUAAUGUGCACCCAAAGGAAAGUAAUUUCCUGCCUUGAAUAAGUUCUGCAUUCAGAAGAAUUUAAUGUCACUGUCAUCCUCAGAGCUGGCAGGAGGAGCCACCAGUUUGCUGACCAAGGCUGCCAGUGAGGCACACGCUGUGCUGAGGGGCGCUAGCAAGGGUGGUGAUUCCAUCUGGCAGCACCCAACGCUGCCUGUUUGUGUUGGCCCUUGCCCAUUUCAGCAGCUAUACGGCCUAGGCAAUCUCAGGAAUGGUCAUGAAAUUAUUACCUUAAAUUGUCUUCAAAGAGUAGUCCAGAUUUAUGAUUGUCUUAAAGCACAUAAACACAUUUGAGCACAUUUUACCCAUUUCAAGGGAUACGCAACACACAAGGGGAGUUUUUCCCUUCCUUCUUAGGGCUGUAAAAACAAAACCAGGACGCUUCUUGCCAAACUGGCUCAAAGUCUGCAUGGAUUUGGUUGGACAGAUACAGUGGAAAACUAUACCCAGUCUUUUGAGUACCGGCCUGUGCACCUCCUUACAUCUCAGUACUGUCAGCUUCUAAUGCAAGAUCUCCAGCAAAAGUUUGCUUUUGUUUGGAUUUCAUGUUUAAAAAAUAAACCGUAUGAAACUGGUUGUCAUUUUGGAUCUGUAAAACACAGCCAUUUUAUCUCACUGGAAACAGUAGCGGAGGAUUUCUGCUCUGCUCUUCUCGAUGACGCUCUCAUAGGGUUUUCCAUCCCC
ensembl:lncRNA